CACUGGAAAUACAGUUGAGUUGAGAGACGAGAGACCAUUGUCAAAGUGGCUAACACACUGUCGCGUCCACGUAGCGUUUAGCCGUGGAAUGUUUUUGUGAAACUCGAAACAAGGAAGCGUCUUGAGCAACAUCUUUGGUGACACACGCGGGCAGUCAACGAAGACACACUUCCUCUCGCUAAUUACUACUUGUCAGCGUUGAGCUGAGCAGGUGCUGUCACUUGUCCUCUUUCGCAUUCUUGCCGAGAGAAAAAUACGAGCAGCUACGAACGGCAUGUGGCGUGUUGUUGUGUGUUUGAAUUCAAGGUGCUUUGAGAUGAGUGACUCCAGCGUUCAGCUGCGCCCGUGACGUCAUCACGCCGCCGUCGCGUUUCCCCUUUGGCUUAGGUCAAGUUGGACCUGUUGCCGGGCGGGUUAGAGCUGCCAAAGAUGGUGAUGUCACUAAUGGGCUGUCUUAGGUCAAGUACUAUCAAAAGUACAUAGUAGGUGAG